UACGGAAGGCAGCAGUGGGGAAUAUUGCACAAUGGGCGCAAGCCUGAUGCAGCCAUGCCGCGUGUAUGAAAAAGGCCUUCGGGUUGUAAAGUACUUUCAGUCGUGAGGAAGGUGUUAAGGUUAAUAACCUUAGCAAUUGACGUUAGCGACAGAAGAAGCACCGGCUAACUCCGUGCCAGCAGCCGCGGUAAUACGGAGGGUGCGAGCGUUAAUCGGAAUUACUGGGCGUAAAGGGCACGCAGGCGGUUAAUUAAGUUGGAUGUGAAAUCCCCGGGCUUAACCUGGGAAUGGCAUUCAAGACUGGUUAGCUAGAGUCUUGUAGAGGGGGUUAGAAUUCCAUGUGUAGCGGUGAAAUGCGUAGAGAUGUGGAGGAAUACCGGUGGCGAAGGCGGCCCCUGGACAAGACUGACGCUCAUGUGCGAAAGCGUGGGGAGCAAAC
rnacentral:rRNA from 1 species